rnacentral:rRNA from 1 species
GAUGAACGCUAGCUACAGGCUUAACACAUGCAAGUCGAGGGGUAGCAGGGUAGCAAUACCGCUGACGACCGGCGCACGGGUGAGUAACACGUAUCCAACCUUCCCAUAACUCGGGGAUAGCCUUUCGAAAGAAAGAUUAAUACCCGAUAGUACUUAUAUAGGGCAUCCUACAUAAGUUAAAGAUUUAUUGGUUAUGGAUGGGGAUGCGUUCCAUUAGAUAGUUGGUGAGGUAACGGCUCACCAAGUCCUCGAUGGAUAGGGGUUCUGAGAGAAAGGUCACCCACAUUGGUACUGAGACACGGACCAAACUCCUACGGGAGGCAGCAGUGAGGAAUAUUGGUCAAUGGGCGAGAGCCUGAACCAGCCAAGUAGCGUGAAGGAUGAAGGUCCUAUGGAUUGUAAACUUCUUUUAUAGUAGAAUAAAGUGAUCCACGUGUGGAUUUUUGUAUGUAUACUAUGAAUAAGGAUCGGCUAACUCCGUGCCAGCAGCCGCGGUAA